AGUGAACGCUGGCGGCAGGCCUAAUACAUGCAAGUCGAACGGCAGCACAGCAGAGCUUGCUCUGUGGGUGGCGAGUGGCGGACGGGUGAGGAAUACAUGGGAAUCUGCCCAGUCGUGGGGGAUAACGUAGGGAAACUUACGCUAAUACCGCAUGCGCCCUUCGGGGGAAAGCCGGGGACCUUCGGGCCUGGCGCGAUUGGAUGAGCCCAUGUCGGAUUAGCUAGUUGGCGGGGUAAAGGCCCACCAAGGCGACGAUCCGUAGCUGGUCUGAGGGGAUGAUCCGCCAGACUGGGACUGGGACACGGUCCAGACUCCUACGGGAGGCAGCAGUAGGAAAUAUUGGACAAUGGGCGCAAGCCUGAUCCAGCCAUGCCGCGUGAGUGAAGAAGGCCCUCGGGUUGUAAAGCUCUUUUGUCCGGAAAGAAAAGCGCCGGGUUAAUACCCUGGUGUCCUGACGGUACCGGAAGAAUAAGCACCGGCUAACUUCGUGCCAGCAGCCGCCGUAAGAC
rnacentral:rRNA from 1 species